UACGGGGGGGGUAAGCGUUGUUCGGAAUUACUGGGCGUAAAGGGCUCGUAGGCGGCCAACUAAGUCAGACGUGAAAUCCCUCGGCUUAACCGGGGAACUGCGUCUGAAACUGCCUGGCUUGAGUUCGGGAGAGGGAAGCGGAAUUCCGGGUGUAGCGGUGAAAUGCGUAGAUAUCAGGAGGAACACCGGUGGCGAAGGCGGCUAUCUGGACAGAAACUGACGCUGAGGCGCGAAAGCUAGGGGAGCAAACAGG
rnacentral:rRNA from 1 species